rnacentral:snRNA from 1 species
UUUCCCAUCGGCAAUGUAGUAAAACUGGAACGAUACCAGAAAAUAUUAGCAUUGUCAAUGACAAAGGAUGACAUAUUUCCCCAAGGUGAGAAACAUAGGUAA